UACGGAGGGGGUUAGCGUUGUUCGGAAUUACUGGGCGAAAGCGCGCGUAGGCGGACUAUUAAGUCAGAGGUGAAAAUCCCGGGGCUCAACCCCGGAACUGCCUUUGAUACUGGUAGUCUUGAGUUCGAGAGAGGUAAGUGGAAUUCCGAGUGUAGAGUGAAAUUCGUAGAUAUUCGGAGGAACACCAGUGGCGAAGGCGGCUUACUGGCUCGAUACUGACGCUGAGGUGCGAAAAGUGUGGGGGAGCAAAACAGGAUUAGAUACCCGUGUAGUC
rnacentral:rRNA from 1 species